AAGUGGAGCAAUCCAUGAGUAAAGUGGCGACCGGGUGAGUAACACGUGACUAACCUACCCUCGAGUGGGGAAUAACCUCGGGAAACCGGGGCUAAUACCGCAUAACAUCUACGGAUCAAAUGCGUAAGCAGCUUGAGGAGGGGGUCGCGGCCGAUUAGCUAGUUGGCGGGGUAAUGGCCCACCAAGGCAAUGAUCGGUAGCCGGCCUGAGAGGGCGCACGGCCACACUGGAACUGAAACACGGUCCAGACUCCUACGGGAGGCAGCAGUGGGGAAUUUUGCGCAAUGGGGGAAACCCUGACGCAGCAACGCCGCGUGGAGGAUGAAGCCCCUUGGG
rnacentral:rRNA from 1 species